GAGUUUGAUCCUGGCUCAGGAUGAACGCUAGCGGGACGCCUAACACAUGCAAGUCGAACGCUUUGUAGCAAUACAAGGAGUGGCAAACGAGCGAGUAACGCGUACCUAACCUGCCCCGAAGAUGGGAACAACUAUGGAGACAUAGCUAAUUCCCAAUACUCUCUACAAAAUGAAAAUAUGUAGAGCAAAGAUUUAUCGCUUUGGGAGGGGGGUGCGUCCUAUCAUGGUAGUUGGUGGGGUAAUGGCCUACCAAGCCUUUGACGGGUACCCGGCCUAAGAUGGUGUCCGGCCGCGAUGGAACUGACAUACGGUCCAUACUCCUACGGGAGGCAUCAGUGGGGAAUCUUACACAAUGGACGAAAGUCUGAUGCAGCGAUCCCGCGUGGAGGAUGAAGCCCUAUGGGGUGUAAACUCCUUUUCUGGUGGAAGAAGAAUGACGGUACACCAGGAAUAAGAGACGGCUAACUACGUGCCAGCAGCCGCGGUAAUACGUAGGUCUCGAGCGUUAUCCGGAUUUACUGGGCGUAAAGUGUCCGUAGCCCGAUAUAUAAGUCUGUUUUCAAAUACUCUGACUCAAUCAGAGAAAGGGGAUAGAUACUGUAUAUCUAGAAAUUGUUAGAGGUUAGUGGAAUUUCCGGUGGAGCGGUGAAAUGCGUUGAUAUCGGAAAGAAUGCCGAAAGCGAAAGCAGCUAACUAUAAUAAAUUUGACGGUGAUGGACGAAAGCUUGGGUAGCAAACGGGAUUAGAUACCCCGGUAGUCCAAGCUGUAAAUUAUGUUUGCUAGGUGUCUCUCCUAUACUUAUGUUUGUCGCAAGGAUAAAUAUAACUAUAGGAGGGGUGCCGUAACCUAACGGGUUAAGCAAAUCGCCUGGGUAGUAUAUUCUGUCAAGAAUGACACUCAAAGGGAUAGGACGUGGGACC
rnacentral:rRNA from 1 species